UACGUAGGGAGCAAGCGUUGUCCGGAUUUAUUGGGCGUAAAGAGCUCGUAGGCGGCUUGUCGCGUCGUCUGUGAAAACCCGCGGCUCAACGGCGGGCUUGCAGUCGAUACGGGCAGGCUGGAGUUCGGUAGGGGAGACUGGAAUUCCUGGUGUAGCAGUGAAAUGCGUAGAUAUCAGGAGAAACACCGAUGGCGAAGGCAGGUCUCUGGGCUGACACUGACGCUCAUGCACGAAAGCGUGGGGAGCAAACAGG
rnacentral:rRNA from 1 species